AAAGGAAUGGUCGAAAUUGACCUUCCAACAAAUAGUAACCCUAGUGAGGAAAGACGGGGAGAACAGAAGAGAUCGAGGAAACGGAGAAGAAGAGAACAGAGGAAGAAGAGAUCGAAGAAGAGAUCGAGGAAGACGGAGAAGAAGAGAUCGAGGAAUAAUCAUGGAAAUCGACCAUGAUUGAGGAACGAUUCUAUUAGUUAUUACGAAACAACAUCAAAAGGAGAUAUAACAUUAUAAAUACUAAGGAGAUAUUCCAGCUCAUUCGUCAGAUUCUCAGACAUAAUCGUCGUUUAUACCUUUCCUGAAUCCGAAAUUGACAAGACCAACUUCCAGUAUGGCUCCUCUAUUCUUGACAAAGAAAAGAAAACUAGAAAUGAUGAAUGAUAAUAUCCGAACAACGUUGGAUGCUGUAACUUUAUUUUACGUCUACUUUUAU